UACGUAGGGGGCUAGCGUUGUCCGGAAUCAUUGGGCGUAAAGAGCUCGUAGGCGGCUUGGCAAGUCGGGUGUGAAAACUUCAGGCUCAACCUGGAGCGGCCACUCGAUACUGCCAUGGCUUGAGUCCGGUAGGGGACCACGGAAUUCCUGGUGUAGCGGUGAAAUGCGCAGAUAUCAGGAGGAACACCGGUGGCGAAGGCGGUGGUCUGGGCCGGAACUGACGCUGAGGAGCGAAAGCGUGGGGAGCGAACAGG
rnacentral:rRNA from 1 species